AUUGAACGCUGGCGGCAUGCCUUACACAUGCAAGUCGAACGGCAGCGGACCUUCGGGUGCCGGCGAGUGGCGAACGGGUGAGUAAUAUAUCGGAACGUACCUUUCAGUGGGGGAUAACGUAGCGAAAGUUACGCUAAUACCGCAUAUUCUGUGAGCAGGAAAGCAGGGGAUCGCAAGACCUUGCGCUGAUUGAGCGGCCGAUAUCAGAUUAGCUAGUUGGUGAGGUAAAGGCUCACCAAGGCGACGAUCUGUAGCGGGUCUGAGAGGAUGAUCCGCCACACUGGAACUGAGACACGGUCCAGACUCCUACGGGAGGCAGCAGUGGGGAAUUUUGGACAAUGGGCGCAUGCCUGAUCCAGCCAUGCCGCGUGAGUGAAGAAGGCCUUCGGUUGUAAGACUCUUUCGGUCCGGGACGGAAAGUACGCACGGGUUAAGUACCCUAGUGUGGAUGACGGUACCGGAA
rnacentral:rRNA from 1 species